GAAGGAAAAGAUGUGGCUGCUGUGCUGGGUGCCGUGUGCCAGGAGAUGGCAAUUGGGAUUGAUAAGAAAUGGUCAAAAAGCGCUUGAGGUUCAUGGCAGGACACGGAAGAUGGACUUCACUACAUUCAGUAGCAAAGAUUUAACAACAAAGUUAAUUAUUUUAUACAAAACAGAGAAAGAAGCUGAACGAGCCCCGCUACAGAAGAACUUGCCCAGGGGCUAAUCUCCUCCAAGCUGGGAAGGGGUCUGCAAAGUCUUCUCCAGCACUUCCAGAUGAGUGACCUGACCCAUGGGCACACUAUAUUGUAAGAAAAGGAUUAACUAUAUAUAUUAAUUAUCAGGAGACUGUCCAGCCUCACACCGCAGAAGGAAGACUCAGUCACUCAACCCUGUGCGCUCAGCUGAUUUGCUCUCAGGAUGAACUUUGCUCACCAUCUUUGCUGCAAACACUGAAGCUCAGACUGAGUGGCAUCAGGCUGAUCCCUGAUACUCUUCCUGUGUACCUUGCUCAAAACUGAGGGUCACCUACAAAUGUGGAACAGCAAUGCCAAGCUCUACUCAUAACACAUCUUCACGUAUACAGAUGAGGCUCUGCUGUCAUAUCUUGAGACAGGCUGAAAUCAUCAAGAAAUGAGGAUUUCUUCCAGCCUGCUACCAGGCCUCUCUGUGGACAUUUUGGAAAUGCCAGACCUCUUCCUUGGGGUUUUUAGAGCCUUUCUAGCAUGAACGGCAGGAUCUGCAGAAAGGUUAGCAUCAAACAGCUGCAGAGCAUGAUCAUCUGUAGGGGAUGCAUAGCCAGAGGUUCGGUGUCACAGAUCCUGUGCAGUUGUCCUAUGGCUAAUGGGAAAGGCUGUAUUCUGAAAAGGUCAUAAAGGCAAUUAAUGAGACAAAGCAGCAGCUCUUCCCGGUGCCAGAGCAGGGCUCAGCCAAAAUAUUUGACUUCAGGUUUAUUUCCUUCAGGUUUAUUAACCAUUAAGUGUUAUUAGGGAUGGGAUCAUAAAUAUAAUGAACUCAACUAUGGGUAUAGUCAGUAGUCCUUUUUUUCCCAUCAGGAGCACAGAUUUUUCCCAUUGGGCCGGGCAGGAGUGUAAAAAGCAACAGCAAGAAACCCCCAGCCUUCCCGUGGCAGCUCAACUCCACUUUGCCUUGCUUUAAGCUGGGGAACUCUGUGUGAUUCCACUUUGCUGUGAGCAAAGCCCAUGCAUGGCACCAGCAGCAGGAUGCUCUGGAGGGAUACUCUGCAAAGAGUUUCUCCUCUGCAGCAAGCCAACUUAAAAGAAUUCCUAAUUCCUCCAGCACUGCCUGCUCACUACAUCACCACAUGCUCCUCAGUUGUCCUGGCACUAAACCAGUGCAGUAACUCAUCCAGGUUAAAAAUAACCAGUGGGGGGUUUCGGGGUGGGGUAGAGGAGCAGUUUUUUUAUCUUGGAUCUGUUCACUGAUCAGCAGUACAGCACAGCAUGCAAGCAGUGGUUCCAGCAUGAGGAGAUGGAGCAGUGUGGGAAGUGGGAACAGACCUGGAAACUCUUAGGUGGGAAGUGAGGCUGAGAAAAUGGGAUGUGGCACUGCAUCAAGUCUGGCAACAAGAACAGUGUAAAUUGAAUGACUUCAAAUGUUUGAAAACAGUUUGUAAUCUAAUUUUGCAA